rnacentral:misc_RNA from 1 species
UAUUUUUAUAUAUUAAAAUUAAAAGAAGACAUAUAAAUUAAAAUCAUUAAUAGCCACGUGUAUUAGCCCGAACAAUUCCCUAGUUUUCAUAUGUUACAUGAAAUUUCAGUAACUAAAUUUGUGUGGCCUAGAAGUAGAGACAGGUGGCAGUAUCUAAGCUGCUUGAUUAAUUUUUGUGGAAGGCGUUCUGACAGAGUAGUUUAAUACUAUGUUUCUUCUGUCUGAUCAAGUUUGCCUUACUCAAAAGUUGGUGCCACACAUUUUAAUAUAGCAUGGUGUAUGAUGUAUUUAUUAUAUUGCAGUCACUUGUAUGAAAAUUAAAAGAAUGGUUGGGUUUAGUGUGUACGCAAGCUCCUCAAAGCAACAAUUCCUUUUUUUUUUCCUUGAACUUUAUAUUUUCUUGGAAUGUGGUGUAAUAUUUUGUUGCAACAAGGACUUUUACCGAAGAUUGGAGGCAUUGACUUGGAUUGGUAGUACUCAACGUCAAAUAAUGCAUAUUGAUAUUAUUGCUAAAAGUUUUGUAUUUGAUUUCACAAGUAAUUUCAUGCAGGAUUCUUGCUA